rnacentral:RNase_P_RNA from 1 species
CAACCGCUCCGAACAAUCGCGCAGUAUCAUACCGAAAGGUCAUAUUGUGAGGAAAGUCCGAGCUCCGCAGAGCAGGAUAACGGAUAACGUCCGCCGAAGGUGACUUUAGGGCCAGUGCAACAGAAAUAAACCGCCGUAGCGAUACGGUAAGGAUGGAAAGGCGAGGUAAGAGCUCACCGGCACACAGGCGACUGUGUGGCCAUGUAAACCCUAUCCGGAGCAACACCGCAUACGGGAGCAUAUGCUUGCUCGGCAGCUCCCAGAGGUGGCAAAGAGGUCCAUGGCAACAUGUACCCAAGAUAGAUGAUUGUUGUAAACAGAACUCGGCUUACGGGGGCGGUUGGCGC